CCCUUAGAUGUUCUGGGCCGCACGCGCGCUACACUGACGAAGUCAGCGAGCAUGUCCUACGCCGACAGGUGCGGGGAAUCUUGUCAAACUUCGUCGUGAUGGGGAUUGAUUUUUGAAAUUCUUGAUCAUAAACGAGGAAUUCCUAGUAAACGCAGAUCAUCAAUCUGCAUUGAUUACGUCCCUGCCCUUUGUACACACCGCCCGUCGCACCUACCGAUUGGAUGGUCCGGUGAAGCCUCGGGAUUGUGGUUCUUGCCGCUUUAUUGUGGCGUGACCGCGAGAACUUGUCUAAACCUUAUCAUCUAGAGGAAGGUGAAGUCGUAACA
rnacentral:rRNA from 1 species